AUAUUUUAAAUCCAGUAAUGAGUGUUUAUUUUUGUUCAUCAGUGAAUGAAAACGGUUUUUAUCCUAAUAUGAAUUCAGCUUAUGAUCCUGAAUUUAUAUUGUUAAAGCAGUUAAUGAUAUUAUUUCAGAGUUAUAACUGACUUAGCAAAGUCACGUUAUUUAUUUAAGCGAGAUGAAAUUUGAUUUUAUUUUUACUCAGAUCGUGAAUUAUUUCCGACUCAGGAAGUUAAUUAAAUCUGCGGAUUUAAUUUAGAUAUCAGAACAACGAACGAAUUAAAUCUACGGAUUUAAUUUAGAUUCAUUUUAUAAUUUAUCGGUUUUAGUGAGAAAUCACAUGUCGAAAUACGAGAUUUAUUUAAAUAAACAGUAUCAAGCAUAUACGAGCACACGAUCCAUCUUACAGUUACAGAAUCACCGAGACAGAGAAAAUACAUCAAUAAUUCUCCUCUACAUUUUUUUUCCUUUCUUUUUCUUCUCUUUUUCUUUCCAUUAAUUUUGUUCCCCACUCCAUCAACUCCACUACCCUAUGCUCCCCACCAUCUCCACUACCUUUGCUCCCCAUCAACUCCAACACUUCACCCAUUCCUUCCAUUUCGCACCAGCAAUCACAAAGAGAAGGAAGACUUGGCUUAACUACUUUGCCAAGAUUUCAAGCUGCUCCAGUCCAGUAGUACCCCAACACUCGAAGCUAGAGUUUAUUGGGUGAAAAACCGUGCAUGAGGUCGAGCGCAAGAAUAAGAGCUCGUCAAGGAGUCACUAAUCUGUAGCAAAGCUUUGCUAUCAGGUUGAGCAGCUGCCGAUGGUGAUGAAGUGACGAGCGGGACUCUUUUGUCUUAUUAUGUAUUAAUGAACUCUAGGGUUACAUGUCUUCAUACAUGUAAUCAGAACCUUAUUCCGCUGCGUACUCAGAAGUUUUAUGUUAUUUUGGAUAAGUCGGAGUUAUCCGAACUUGUUAGUUAUUUGAGUCUAUACGACAAAAACUCUGUUAUAUUAUAGAUAUCUAUGUUGUUAACAAUGAUGAAAUA